rnacentral:rRNA from 1 species
GACGUAGGGCGCGAGCGUUGUCCGGAUUUAUUGGGCGUAAAGAGCUCGUAGGCGGCUUGUCGCGUCGACUGUGAAAACCCAUGGCUCAACCAUGGGCUUGCAGUCGAUACGGGCGGGCUAGAGGUAGGUAGGGGAGAAUGGAAUUCCCGGUGUAGCGGUGAAAUGCGCAGAUAUCGGGAGGAACACCGGUGGCGAAGGCGGUUCUCUGGGCCUUACCUGACGCUGAGGAGCGAAAGCGUGGGGAGCGAACAGG